rnacentral:tRNA from 1 species
GCCUGGCUGGCAUAGCCAGUAGAGCAUGCGACUCUUGAUCUCAGGGCCAUGAGUUCGAGCCCCAUGUUGGGCA